rnacentral:siRNA from 1 species
UUGAAGUCAAACUGUCUAUUGAC